UUAUUACAUAAAUGGACACAAUUGCUCUCUGUGAAAAGCCGGACACUAUUCAGAAGGAAGAGAGGGACAUGCCCCGCGGUCAGGAGUGGAGUGGCUUUAGCAUCUUUGCCCUUAGUAAUAGAACGUAGUCUCGGAAGUCCAGAAGCUUGGUCAUAAUGCAAGCGAAACAAACCUUCCAGGCUGGUUUUGGUUUUGUCAUUCGUAUGGGUCUACACCCAGGCUCUCUCAGUACCGUCUCUCCAAGCGCGAGCAACAGCAGCUGGAAGGUGGGACAGAUGCAGAUUCUAGGUUUCUACCUAAAAUCUCCUGAGCCAGAACUGUGGAGGAGGGGAAGUGAUCAGAAGUCAAAGUGAUGAAGGAAGGCAGCUAGCCAUGCUUCAGAUUCUUCUGAUGGCCCUCAAGUCUGAGAAAGAGCCUCAAGCCCAAGAGAAACUCUGUCGAUGCAGUAAUACUGAAAAGGACUCUCAGUGAACAAGCCCUACAUACCUAGAGGCAAAGAGAACUUCUGAAUCCUG
rnacentral:lncRNA from 1 species